rnacentral:rRNA from 2 species
CUGGUGUCAGCCGCCGCGGUAAUACCAGCACCCCGAGUGGUCGGGACGAUUAUUGGGCCUAAAGCAUCCGUAGCCGGCCUUACAAGUCCUCCGUUAAAUCCAGCUGCUUAACAGAUGGGCUGCGGAGGAUACUAUAAGACUAGGAGGCAGGAGAGGCAAGCGGUACUCAGUGGGUAGGGGUAAAAUCCGUUGAUCCAUUGAAGACCACCAGUGGCGAAGGCGGCUUGCCAGAAUGCGCUCGACGGUGAGGGAUGAAAGCUGGGGGAGCAAACCGGAUUAGAUACCCGGGUAGUCCCAGCUGUAAACGAUGCAGACUCGGUGAUGGACUAGCUUUAUGCUGGUCCAGUGCCGCAGGGAAGCCGUUAAGUCUGCCGCCUGGGUAGUACGGUAGGAAGACUGAAACUUAAAG